GGUACUGGUGGCUCAACGGUUAAAGCUCGUGGUUACUGAUCAGAAGGUCGGGGGUUCAAGCCCCAGCACUGCCA